rnacentral:lncRNA from 1 species
GGUAUGGGAUUUAACUGGCAUCCCAUGCUGCCAUGCUGCAGCAGCUAUUAUGUAUGUUAGGAAGGAAGCAAAAUAUUUUGUUAGUGCAUGGUACACUAAAACAAUAUGGGCAUUAGCCUAUGAACAUAUCAUUGAGCCAGAACCAAGCAUGAAAUCUUGACCAAGGACAGAAUACCCCAUUGUCUGCCCCCUCCCCUAAGGGCUCCUUCAGAU